GGGAGUGUAGUUCAGAGGUAAAGCGUUCGCUUUGCAUGCGAAAGGUCCCGGGUUGGAUCCCCGGCAUUUCCA